rnacentral:rRNA from 1 species
UACGUAGGGGGCAAGCGUUGUCCGGAAUUAUUGGGCGUAAAGCGCGUGUAGGCGGCUCUGCAAGUCCGCUGUGAAAGUCCAGGGCUCAACCCUGGAAUGCCGGUGGAUACUGCAGGGCUAGAGUUCGGAAGAGGCGAGUGGAAUUCCUGGUGUAGCGGUGAAAUGCGCAGAUAUCAGGAGGAACACCAAUGGCGAAGGCAGCUCGCUGGGACGACACUGACGCUGAGACGCGAAAGCGUGGGGAGCAAACAGG